rnacentral:tRNA from 1 species
GGUUUCGUAGCUCAACUGGAUAGAGCGCAGCCCUCCGAAGGCUGAGGUUUCGGGUUCGAGUCCCGACGAGACCACCA